rnacentral:rRNA from 1 species
CCUACGGGUGGCAGCAGUGAGGAAUAUUGGUCAAUGGCCGGGAGGCUGAAGCAGCCAAGUCGCGUGAGGGAAGACGGCCCUCCGGGUUGUAAACCUCUUUUGUCCGGGAGCAAGGUGCAGGUCGGGACCUGCUGUGAGAGUACCUGAAGAAAAAGCAUCGGCAAACUCCGUGCCAGCGGGCGCGGUAAUACGGAGGCUGCGAGCGUUAUCCGGCUUUAUUGGGUUUAAAGGGUGCGCAGGCGGAGGCACAAGUCAGCGGUAAAAUCGCGGGGCUCAACCCCGCGCCGCCGUUGAAACUGUGGCCCGUGAGUGCGCGAAGGGUAGGCGGAAUGCGUGGUGUAGCGGGGAAAUGCAGAGAUAUCACGCAGAACUCCGAUCGCGAAGGCAGCCUACCGGCGCGCAACUGACGCUCAUGCACGAAAGCGUGGGUAUCGAACAGGAUUAGAUACCCUAGUAGUC